GAUUGAACGCUGGCGGUAUGCUUAACACAUGCAAGUCGAACGGAAACGAUACUAGCUUGCUAGUAGGCGUCGAGUGGCGGACGGGUGAGUAACGCGUAGGAAUCUGCCUGAUAGUGGGGGAUAGCCCGAAGAAAUUCGGAUUAAUACCGCAUAAUCUAUUCGUAGUAAAGUGGGGGACUUUCGAGCCUCACGCUAUCAGAUGAGCCUGCGUAAGAUUAGCUUGUUGGUGGGGUAAAAGCCCACCAAGGCGACGAUCUUUAGCUGGUCUGAGAGGAUGAUCAGCCACAUCGGGACUGAGACACGGCCCGAACUCCUACGGGAGGCAGCAGUGGGGAAUAUUGGACGAUGGGGGCAACCCUGAUCCAGCAAUACCGCGUGUGUGAAGAAGGCCUGAGGGUUGUAAAGCACUUUCAAUUGUGAAGAAAAGUUAGCGGUUAAUAACCGUUAGCCUUGACGUUAACUUUAGAAGAAGCACCGGCUAACUCCGUGCCAGCAGCCGCGGUAAUACGGAGGGUGCAAGCGUUAAUCGGAAUUACUGGGCGUAAAGCGUGCGUAGGCGGUUUAUUAAGUCAGAUGUGAAAGCCCCGGGCUUAACCUGGGAACUGCAUUUGAAACUGGCCAACUAGAGUAUGGUAGAGGAAAGUGGAAUUUCUGGUGUAGCGGUGAAAUGCGUAGAUAUCAGAAGGAACAUCAAUGGCGAAGGCAGCUUUCUGGACCAAUACUGACGCUGAGGUACGAAAGCGUGGGUAGCAAACAGGAUUAGAUACCCUGGUAGUCCACGCCGUAAACGAUGAUAACUAGCCGUUGGGGGGAUUUACCCUUUAGUGGCGAAGCUAACGCGUUAAGUUAUCCGCCUGGGGAGUACGGCCGCAAGGUUAAAACUCAAAGGAAUUGACGGGGACCCGCACAAGCGGUGGAGCAUGUGGUUUAAUUCGAUGCAACGCGAAGAACCUUACCUGGUCUUGACAUCCUGCGAACUUUCUAGAAAUAGAUUGGUGCCUUCGGGAACGCAGUGACAGGUGCUGCAUGGCUGUCGUCAGCUCGUGUCGUGAGAUGUUGGGUUAAGUCCCGUAACGAGCGCAACCCCUAUCCUUAUUUGCCAGCACAUUAUGGUGGGAACUAUAAGGAGACUGCCGGUGAUAAACCGGAGGAAGGCGGGGACGACGUCAAGUCAUCAUGGCCCUUACGACCAGGGCUACACACGUGCUACAAUGGGAAGGACAAAGAGCCACGAAGCCGCGAGGUGUAGCUAAUCUCAUAAACCUUUUCGUAGUCCGGAUUGGAGUCUGCAACUCGACUCCAUGAAGUCGGAAUCGCUAGUAAUCGUAGAUCAGAAUGCUACGGUGAAUACGUUCCCGGGUCUUGUACACACCGCCCGUCA
rnacentral:rRNA from 1 species